GCGGAGGGAGGGGCUAGCAGCCGCUCUGUGCUCCUCCGGACCCCAAGCCCUGGCGGGAGAGGGUCUGCACUGGCUGCCGCUGCUCCACACCCCAAGAGUGCCCACACCCCAGCGCUCGGAGCCCCAGGAAGCAGGAGAGGGACCCCAGUUAGACCUUGAGUAGGGAGGGAGUUGGGGGGUCGACAGAUUGGGCUCAGUGAUCGUAACCCGUCCCUGGAGGCAGCUUUCUGAGAGUCCAACCCCUUCCCUGGAGGAUGCAAAUUCCAUAGGGAGGACAGCCCUCUGAGACUGAAUUUGUUCAACUGAGGAUAUACAUUGGUGAGAGGUUCCUGAAAACCUUCUGAACCAACUUCCACCAAGUUCUCUGACUCUCUUGAGUGACGAUUCAAAGAUUUUCUCCCCUGCAUCCAUCUCUCCGCCACAGUGCAAGAUCAACCAGCCUGCCUUCCAUCUACAUUUGCUGUUCAAGAAGACUCCAGGUGUUCCGAAGAUCAAGUACUAAUACUCAGAGACUCAUGAACGCCACGUCAAGCCCUAUCCGACAUGCUCACCACUUCUUUGAUAUUAUCCUUCGAAAUCUCCCUGCCUAUUUCCCCUCUAAUACCCAAGAGAUCACCAGUUCCCAACUUAGAGAUUUCAUUCUUGAUCUCUUUCUCCAGGGUGAUCUCAUGGAUUUUACUUGGGAUGAGGUAAUGCAGUUCCUGGAACUUCCAUAAAAUAUGCCAUUAUGUCUUUCCCUUCAAUAAAGGUGGAUCUCG
rnacentral:sRNA from 1 species